AGAGAGGUAAGUCGUGUCUUUAAAUCACCACAUUGAUAACAUUAUGUAAACCAAUGUCUCUUCUAUAGAUGUAACUUCUAGUGAAGUAGAAAACACAUCAUGUUGUUCAUAUUAAUGUUCCCUAACUUUUAUCUGAUGUUGGAACAUUGAUAUGAGACAAGGAGUCCCAGAGAGAGACUACAUCUACUAGUGUUCAUGUUAAUGAUGUUCUCACUGUCUUCCAUCUACUCUACAUGUUUACAGAUGUCCUCAAGAAGGAGAGAGGUAAGUCGUGUCUUCAGAUCAUCACUUUGCUAGAUUUAUUUAAACUAUGUUAUGUUUUUGUUGAGCACAAAGUGGAAUCGGUAGUUGCAUCAUCCAUUGUUUUGUUAUAAAUAAAUUUUCUACCCCUUGAUUGUUGAAGAAUAUAACUUAUAAAUGAUUAAAGAGCUUAGUUUAACUGUUGUACCCCAUCAGAACCCCAAAUAGAACCUUGUUUUAUCUCAAUGUUUGUAAACAAAGUAAAUGUAAACAAACACUAUGUGGCCUCAAAACAUGUAUAAAACUAUAAUGUUGAUACAGUAUCAUGGAUGGUCAGUCCUUGUAUCCAUAGCUCUGUCUAUGAAUUUGAGAGUGAUAUUAUUUCUCCAGCCCCUCCCUCAGCUUUUUACCAAAACAACAGUUGCGGGGACCACCUUUUGUUAUUGGCUAUGGCCAACUUCUGAUUGGCCCCAGGUGUUCCUGAUGUUGGAACAGUGAUAUGAGACAAUGAGUCCCAGAGAGAGACUACAUCUUCUAGUGUUCAUGUUAAUGAUGUUCUCACUGUCUUCCAUCUACUCUACAUGUUUACAGUUGACCUCUGGGAGCAGAAUAGUAAGUACUGUCUGCAGAUCAUCACAAGACCCACAAAGUACAUAUUUCUUUAAUUUAACAAUUUUAGGUAUGAAAACACUUUAAGAAGGUUAUUUUGAGCACAUUGAAGAUGUUCCUUCUGAUGUUGUAACAUUGAUAUGAGACAAGGAGUCCCAGAGAGAGAUUACAUCUUCUAGUGUUCAUGUUAAUGAUGUUCUCACUGUCUUCCAUCUACUCUACAUGUUUACAGAUGACCACACUGGGAAGCUAGUUAAGGUUGAAAAGGAUCUGACUAGUCAACUGGAAAUACUGGCUUCUCAGCUGGAUUUUGUGAACACAAACUGGAGUCCAGAUUUUGAAACCAUCAGAAGACAUGAAGGUGUGUUUUAUACUCUGUGACAUCCAGAAAUGAAUUCCUCCCAUACAAAACGUAACAUAUUAUACGAAAUAGAGUGUCUCGGAUUUACUUACAGAAUAAUAGCAAAUGCUUUGAGACCACUUUGGUGGAUUUGACAGCUCUAACGCAGUUCUACCUCUGAUACAAAUCAACCGCUAUGCGUAUGUUGGACAAAUCAGAAAUGAUUGAAUCGAGCCCUAAAUCAUGUAUUAACAUUAGUUUAGAGGUUCUUACACAUGACCUAAUGAAAACUGCUACAGGAUGUCCUGUUAUCUCUACCUCAGUCACACAUGGACCACUAAUAGAGGAAGACAGUAUGAUGUGUCAGAGAUCAAUACAGUAACAUGUUGUCCUCCACUUGUAUUAUACCACUGAUGAUGAUGUCAUUGUGUUUACCAUAGUGUAUUAUACCCUCUGAUGUCAUUGUGUUUACCGUAGUGUAUUAUACCACUGAUGAUGAUAUCAUUGUGUUUACCAUAGUGUAUUAUACCACUGAUGUUGAUGUCAUGAUGUCAUUGUGUUUACCAUAGUGUAUUAUACCACUGAUGUUGAUGUCAUUGUGUUUACCAUAGUGUAUUAUACCACUGAUGAUGUCAUUGUGUUUACCAUAGUGUAUUAUACCACUGAUGUUGAUGUCAUGAUGUCAUUGUGUUUACCAUAGUGUAUUAUACCACUGAUGAUGAUGGCA